CAUUAGCGUAUAUUAAAGUUGUUGCAGUUAAAAAGCUCGUAGUUGGAUUUCGGGGCGAGUCGUGUUGGUCGGUCGCAAGACUUGUUUACCGACCGGCUUGUUCUUUCUCUCCAAGACCUCGCGUUUCCUUUACUGGAUGUGCGUGUGAAUUGGAGGCGUUUACUUUGAAAAAAUUAGAGUGUUUCAGGCAGGCAAUUGCCCGAAUAUCUUAGCAUGGAAUAAUGGAAUAGGACUUUGGUUCAUUUUAUUGGUUAUUGAAUCAGAGUAAUGAUUAAUAGGGACAGUUGGGGGCAUUAGUAUUUAAUUGUCAGAGGUGAAAUUCUUGGAUUUAUUAAAGACUAACUUAUGCGAAAGCAUUUGCCAAGGAUGUUUUCAUUAAUCAAGAACGAAAGUUAGGGGAUCAAAGACGAUCAGAUACCAU
rnacentral:rRNA from 1 species